rnacentral:rRNA from 1 species
GAUGAACGCUGGCGGCGUGCCUAAUACAUGCAAGUCGAGCGAACAGACGAGGAGCUUGCUCCUCUGACGUUAGCGGCGGACGGGUGAGUAACACGUGGAUAACCUACCUAUAAGACUGGGAUAACUUCGGGAAACCGGAGCUAAUACCGGGUAAUAUAUUGAACCGCAUGGUUCAUUAGUGAAAGACGGUUUUGCUGUCACUUAUAGAUGGAUCCGCGCCGCAUUAGCUAGUUGGUAAGGUAACGGCUUACCAAGGCAACGAUGCGUAGCCGACCUGAGAGGGUGAUCGGCCACACUGGAACUGAGACACGGUCCAGACUCCUACGGGAGGCAGCAGUAGGGAAUCUUCCGCAAAGGGCGAAAGCCUGACGGAGCAACGCCGCGUGAGUGAUGAAGGUCUUCGGAUCGUAAAACUCUGUUAUUAGGGAAGAACAAAUGUGUAAGUAACUAUGCACGUCUUGACGGUACCUAAUCAGAAAGCCACGGCUAACUACGUG